UCGAGAAUCUUUCGCAAUGGGCGCAAGCCUGACGAAGCGACGCCGUGUGAGCGAAGAAGGCCUUCGGGUUGUAAAGCUCUUUCGCCAGGGAACAAGAGAGGUCGGAUAAUACCCGGCCGAUUUGAUGGUACUUGGUAAAGAAGCACCGGCUAACUCCGUGCCAGCAGCUGCGGUAAUACGGAGGGUGCAAGCAUUGAUCGGAAUUACUGGGCGUAAAGGGCGCGUAGGCGGCUGGGUAAGUCAGAUGUGAAAUUCCGGGGCUCAACCCCGGAGCUGCAUUUGAAACUACCUGGCUAGUGUGCAGUUAGGGUAAACGGAAUUCCACGUGUAGCGGUGAAAUGCGUAGAUAUGUGGAAGAACACCGGUGGUGAGACGGUUACUGGGCUGUACAGACGCUGAGGCGCGAAAGCAUGGGGAGCGAAACAGGAUUAGAUACCCUGGUAGUCCAUGCCUUAAACGAUGCAUACUAGGUGUAGGAGGGAUCAACCCCCCU
rnacentral:rRNA from 1 species